rnacentral:rRNA from 1 species
AUUGAACGCUGGCGGCAGGCCUAACACAUGCAAGUCGAACGAGUGGCGGACUGGUGAGUAAUGUCUGGGAAACUGCCUGAUGGAGGGGGAUAACUCCUGGAAACGGUAGCUAAUACCGCAUCCCAUCAGAUGUGCCCAGAUGGGAUUGGCUGGUUGGUGGGGUAACGGCUCACCAAGGCGACGAUCCCUAGCUGGUCUGAGAGGAUGACCAGCCACACUGGAACUGAGACACGGUCCAGACUCCUACGGGAGGCAGCAGUGGGGAAGAUUGCACAAUGGGCGCAAGCCUGAUGCAGCCAUGCAGAGUGUAUGAAGAAGGCCGUCGGGUUGUAAAGUACUUUCAGCGGGGAGGCGUUACCCGCAGAAGAAGCACCGGCUAACUCCGUGCCAGCCGCCGCGGUAAUUC